UCUCGUAGCCUAGAUUUGA
rnacentral:siRNA from 1 species